rnacentral:misc_RNA from 1 species
UUAAGUUCAGCGGGUACUCCUACCUGAUCCGAGGUCAAACUGGAUAAAAAUCUGACAUCAGCGCCGAUUGGGUCUUUGAGCGAUAGAGAUUCCCAUACACUCAGACACCAGGACUCGGUGCUGCCACUGCAUUUCAGGCCCGUCCAUAGGGGACGAUGGCCCAACACACAAGCCGUGCUUGAGGGGUUUGCAAUGACGCU